rnacentral:lncRNA from 1 species
UUCCCUUUAAUAUUUAAAGUAGCACAAAGAGGGCAUUUCAAUCCAAUAUAAAAUAAAACACACAUGCCCUAUAAAAGUCCACUACUGUCCAACUCAAGAUGAUUGUAAAGAAGAAAAUUGUUGAUUAUUAUUCUCUACCAAUAAGUUACUACAUCUCAAUCAAUUGUGAAUCAAGAUCUUCUGUGAGAAUCUUGUGAGAGUUUUAUUGUGGAGUUGACAACACAUUAAAAAGGAGAUCUAACGGCUCACAACGUUUUGAUAAGAAUUUUUUUUUACAAGUUGACAGAAAAUUAGAAGUCAACAAACGCGUUUAUUUUUACAUAUAAUUUUUUAAAAUUUCUUGAUAAAAUUUGUGAGCCGUUGGAUCUCCUUUUUAAUGUGUUGUCAACCCCACAACAAAACCCUCACAAGAUCUUCACAGAGAAAUACUUACAGAGGAUCCUGAUUCAUCAAUUGUAGCUAUAACUAAAGAGAGAAGCAACGCCGCCAACGCCGGCCUUUUAUCUGAAACUAGCUGGGGUAGAUUGACAUUGUAAAAGCAGAAAGACAAAACGAACGAAAAUAAAGUACUUGUAAAAAAUUCCUUUUCUUCUUCUUGAAAUCUUUCACUAGUGAUGUUGGGGAUCAGGUCCUCCAGGACUCAGCCUGGUGGUACUAUAAGGGCUUCGAUUUUUCAUCAGUUUUUGUUUUCGCGUACUUGCCCUUAGGAUUUCUUGAGCAAUUUGGAUCAAUGGCUGUUUCUUUUUACUAGGAAAUGGCUCGAGGGAACGAGUUUGAGAGCAAGUUACAGAGAGCAAGAGCAGGACAAGGCAGAACCAAAUUCUCAGGCCAGCCAUGAAGUUGUAUACUGUUCUAUAACUAACCGAGUGUGGUGCAUGUAGAGUGUGAUUUUGUACUAGCUAGGAUGUUAGUUUGGGCUUUAUAUAGAGCUUCAUAUUGUAAUUCUCAUAAUAUUUUAGUGAAGAGGGUCCAAAAAAGACAAGUCAUACAAGCAGAGUUUCAAUUCCACUUGGAUAUUAUUAAGGUGGUAAAUAUUGAGCUAGGUGCCAAUGUAAAUAAUCAAAACAAACCCUUCUUCUUCUUCUUCUUC